rnacentral:rRNA from 1 species
GGAUUUGUCCAUUGGUCAGGCUUAACUGUCUGUACUGGUGAGUCGAAUUCCUACCUUCUGAGGAACUUCUAUGCCAUUCACUUGGUGUGGUGGGGAAUCAGGACUGUUACUUUGAAAAAAUUAGAGUGUUUAAAGCAGGCUAACGUCUGAAUACAUUAGCAUGGAAUAAUAGAAUAGGACGGUUUGGUUCUAUUUUGUUGGUUUCUAGGAUCACCGUA